CAUUAGACAUUUUAUUCAUGUACACAAUGUCUAAAUGUGUGUCACAUGUGCAAAUGGUGACACACAUGUUCUCUUUGUGGCAUAGAUUUCAACUAAAGUGGUACAACGAGGCUUUCAAUUUGACAGCGGUACAACGAGGCUUUCAAUCUGACCGUGGUACAACGAGGCUUUCAAUCUGACAGUGGUACAACGAGGCUUUCAAUCUGACAGUGGUACAACGAGGCUUUCAAUGUGACAGAGGUACAGCGAUGCUUUCAAUCUGACAGUGGUACAACGAGGCUUUCAAUCUGACAGUGGUACAACGAGGCUUUCAAUGUGACAGAGGUACAGCGAGGCUUUCAAUCUGACAGUGGUACAACGAGGCUUUAAAUCUGACAGUGGUACAACGAGGCUUUCAAUGUGACAGAGGUACAGCGAGGCUUUCAAUCUGACAGUGGUACAACGAGGCUUUCACUCUGACAGUGGUACAACGAAGCUUUCAAUCUGACAGAGGUACAACGAGGCUUUCAAUGUGACAGUGGUACAACGAGGCUUUCAAUCUGACAGAGGUAAACUGUAUAUCAUCAUGAUUUUACAUGUUUUUGUCUCACGAUACGACUAAAUUACAGUGACACGACUAAAUUACAGUGACACACGUUAACAUCCAGAUCAGUGCCUUACCGAUGUAACACACUACAGUGGUACGGUGUAAUAUUAAGCACUGAAAUGUGUGUUUUUCAUAAGAUUGAAUAUAAGACUAUUUGCAGCCAUAUGGCUUACAAGGGAACAUAGUAUAUACAGGAUAUGUAUGUAUGUCAUCUAGAAGUACAAUACAUAUACUAGCAUUGCAAGUUAUGUAUA